ACGCGCGGAACCUUACCAGGUCUUGACAUCUGAAUGACCGGUGCAGAGAUGUACCUUUCCUUCGGGACAUUCAAGACAGGUGGUGCAUGGUUGUCGUCAGCUCGUGUCGUGAGAUGUUGGGUUAAGUCCCGCAACGAGCGCAACCCUUGAUCUUAGUUGCCAGCAGGUUAAGCUGGGCACUCUAAGGUGACUGCCGGUGACAAACCGGAGGAAGGUGGGGAUGACGUCAAAUCAUCAUGCCCCUUAUGACCUGGGCUACACACGUACUACAAUGGCCAGUACAACGGGAAGCGAAGCCGCGAGGUGGAGCCAAUCCUAAAAAGCUGGUCUCAGUUCGGAUUGCAGGCUGCAACUCGCCUGCAUGAAGUCGGAAUUGCUAGUAAUCGCGGAUCAGCAUGCCGCGGUGAAUACGUUCCCGGGUCUUGCACUCACCGCCCGU
rnacentral:rRNA from 1 species